rfam:Schistosoma mattheei strain Denwood, Zambia genome assembly, scaffold: SMTD_scaffold0007377
ACUCGGCUAACGAGUCCCAAAUAGGAUGAAACGCGUGUCCUGGAU